rnacentral:rRNA from 1 species
CCUACGGGGGGCUGCAGUCGAGAAUCUUCGGCAAUGGGCGCAAGCCUGACCGAGCGACGCCGCGUGCGGGAUGAAGGCCUUCGGGUUGUAAACCGCUGUCAUAGGGGAGGAAAUGCGGUGGGGUUCUCCCCUCGUUUGACCUAUUCUAGGAGGAAGGACGGGCUAAGUUCGUGCCAGCAGCCGCGGUAAGACGAACCGCCCAAACGUUAUUCGGAAUCACUGGGCUUAAAGGGUGCGUAGGCGGCGCCGUAAGUCGGGUGUGAAAUCCCUCGGCUCAACCGAGGAAUUGCGCCCGAUACUGCAGUGCUUGAGGGAGACAGAGGUAAGCGGAACUGAUGGUGGAGCGGUGAAAUGCGUUGAUAUCAUCAGGAACACCGGUGGCGAAAGCGGCUUACUGGGUCUCUUCUGACGCUGAGGUACGAAAGCUAGGGGAGCGAACGGGAUUAGAUACCCUUGUAGUC